CCUACGGGUGGCAGCAGUGAGGAAUAUUGGUCAAUGGGCGCGAGCCUGAACCAGCCAAGUAGCGUGAAGGAUGACUGCCCUACGGGUUGUAAACUUCUUUUAUAUAGGAAUAAAGUGAGGCACGUGUGCCUUUUUGCAUGUACUUUAUGAAUAAGGACCGGCUAACUCCGUGCCAGCAGCCGCGGUAAUACGGAGGCUCCGAGCGUUAUCCGGAUUUAUUGGGUGUAAAGGGAGCGUAGAUGGGUUGUUAAGUCAGUUGUGAAAGUUUGCGGAUCAACCGUAAAAUUGCAAUUGAUACUGGCAGUCUUGAGUACAGUUGAGGCAGGCGGAAUUCGUGGUGUAGCGGUGAAAUGCUUAGAUAUCACGAAGAACUCCGAUUGCGAAGGCAGCUUGCUAAACUGCCACUGACAUUGAUGCUCGAAAGUGUGGGUAUCAAACAGGAUUAGAUACCCUAGUAGUC
rnacentral:rRNA from 1 species